rnacentral:rRNA from 1 species
GCAAGUCGAGCGAGAAAGUUCUUCGGAACGAGUAGAGCGGCGAACGGGUGAGUAACACGUAAAUAACCUGCCCUUAAGUUCGGGACAACCAUGCUAACGCGUGGCUAAUACCGGAUGUGGUUGUAAAAUCUCCUGAUUUAACAAUUAAAACUACGGUGCUUAAGGAUGGAUUUGCGUACUAUUAGCUAGUUGGUAAGGUAAUGGCUUACCAAGGCGACGAUCCGUAGCUGGUCUGAGAGGACGAUC